GACGCGGGCGCGCCUGCCUUCCCCGGCCAGUCGCUGUGACGCAGGCGGUCACGUGACCGCGCCGCACUCGGGUGACGAGUCCCCGGGCGUCCCGCGCGCCGGAGGUUUAACCCUUGCGGAGCGGAGCCACGAGCCAAAAGGGCAGAGUGGAGACAAGUGUCAUAAGCAACAUCUUAGUGCUGCAUCUGAAGCAGGAGCCUUGCACCAUCUACAUGGAGGGUACAAAACAUUUAUCUACAUGGGAUAGCUAGCAGUUGCUGCUAGUGAACAGAAGCAAUUGUAAAACAUGUUUUGGGUGCAGCUUCUUUUUAGACAUGCCUAUGUGCAGAAGAUUUUAGCUAUGGACAGCAUAAUCGGAGGCAUUUCAAAAUCAGUUAGACAUGGUCAAGCUGUGUGUUUAAGAAGUUUUUUCUCUCAGUGUGCAAACCAUUCUGCUCGUAAAUUAGUUCUGGGAAUAGAAACAAGUUGUGAUGAUACAGGAGCUGCAGUUCUGGAUGAUAGUGGCAACAUUUUAGGAGAAGCUCUGCAUUCUCAAACUGAAGUCCAUUUGAAGUAGGUAAAUACUUCCAUGCAUGCAUUGUUUUUUAAGUGUAAUUGUGAUUAAAUACUACUGA